rnacentral:tRNA from 1 species
UCCCUGGCGGUCUAGGGGUUAAGGAUUUGGCAUUGUCAUUGCUGUGACCUGGGUUCGAUCCCUGGCCUGGGAG